CUACAACGAAGAGUUUGAUCCUGGCUCAGGAUGAACGCUAGCGGCAGGCUUAACACAUGCAAGUCGAGGGGUAAUCACGCUUUCGGGCGUGAACGACCGGCGCACGGGUGCGUAACGCGUAUACAAUUUACCUUAAACUGGGAGAUAGCCCGAAGAAAUUUGGAUUAAUAUCCCAUAUCUUUUAUAGAUGUCAUCAUUUAUAAAAUAAAGUUUCGACGGUUUAAGAUGAGUAUGCGUCCUAUUAGCUAUUAUGAGAGGUAACGGCUCCCAUAGGCUAUGAUAGGUAGGGGUUCUGAGAGGGAUACCCCCCACACUGGUACUGAGACACGGACCAGACUCCUACGGGAGGCAGCAGUGAGGAAUAUUGGACAAUGGGAGCAAUCCUGAUCCAGCCAUGCCGCGUGCAGGAAGACAGUCCUAUGGAUUGUAAACUGCUUUUAUACAGGAAGAAAAAGUCCGACUUGUCGGAUAUUGACGGUACUGUACGAAUAAGAAUCGGCUAACUCCGUGCCAGCAGCCGCGGUAAUACGGAGGAUUCAAGCGUUAUCCGGAAUCAUUGGGUUUAAAGGGUUCGUAGGCGGGAUAAUAAGUCAGUGGUGAAAGUUUGUGGCUCAACCAUAAAAUUGCCAUUGAUACUGUUGUUCUUGAGUUAUUGUGAAGUGGUUAGAAUGUGUAGUGUAGCGGUGAAAUGCAUAGAUAUUACACAGAACACCAAUUGCGAAGGCAUAUCACUAACAAUAUACUGACGCUGAUGAACGAAAGCGUAGGUAGCCAACAGGAUUAGAUACCCUGGUAGUCUACGCUGUAAACGAUGGUUACUAGCUGUUCGUCACGCCUUAGGCGAGAUGAGUGGUUAAGCGAAAGUGAUAAGUAACCCACCUGGGGAGUACGUUUGCAAGAAUGAAACUCAAAGGAAUUGACGGGGGCCCGCACAAGCGGUGGAGCAUGUGG
rnacentral:rRNA from 1 species